CCUCCCUGGCAAUGAGCAAAUAGAUACCUUGAUGGUGAUGUUCUUAUUCAGUCAGGGGCAUAGUAGAUGGCAGUCCUUUGUUCAUCUUAGCUUGAUGUCUGGCUUGCUGGCCAAAGGAUUUAUGCCUAGGACACACGA